rnacentral:rRNA from 1 species
GAUGAACGCUAGCGGCAGGCCUAAUACAUGCAAGUCGAACGGGAUCCAGAUCACAGCUUGCUUUGGUUUGGUGAGAGUGGCGCAUGGGUGCGUAACGCGUGAGCAACCUACCCUUGUCAGGGGGAUAGCCCGGCGAAAGUCGGAUUAAUACCGCAUGACAUAAUUGAGAGGCAUCUUUCGAUGAUCAAAGAUUUAUCGGACAAGGAUGGGCUCGCAUGACAUUAGCUAGUUGGUAAGGUAACGGCUUACCAAGGCUACGAAGACGAGGGGCGCUGAGAGGAGCAUCCCCCGCACUGGAGAUGAGACCCAGACCCGAAUGCUACGGGACACAGCGGUAAUGACUAUUGGGCAAGGAACGGUAGUCUGAACCCGCCAUGCCGCGUGCAAAAAGACGGCCCUAGGGAUUGUAAACUAUUUUUAAACGAGAACAAACGUCGGUACGUGUACCGGUCUGACGGUACCGAAAGAAUAAGGAUCGGCUAACUCCGUG